rnacentral:snRNA from 1 species
GUACUUACCUGGCAGGGGAGUUACCGUGGCCACAGAGAUAAGGUUUUCCCAGAAUGGGACUGAACCCUUGCACUGUGCGUAUGCUGACCUCAAGAUUUCUCCAAAUAUGGGGAAUCCCACUACAUAGUUUUGGGUCAUAUAC